rnacentral:rRNA from 1 species
UACGUAGGGGGCUAGCGUUGUCCGGAAUCAUUGGGCGUAAAGCGCGCGUAGGCGGCUCGGUAAGUCCGCUGUAAAAGUCAAAGGCUCAACCUUUGAAUGCCGGUGGAUACUGCCGGGCUAGAGUCCGGAAGAGGCGAGUGGAAUUCCUGGUGUAGCGGUGGAAUGCGCAGAUAUCAGGAAGAACACCCGUGGCUAAGGCGGCUCUCUAGUACGGUACUGACGCUGAGACGCGAAAGCGUGGGGAGCGAACAGG